CACACACACACACACACACACACACACACACACACACACACACACACACACACACUGCUUUUGUUGCUUCACACAGCUUUUGUUUUAUCUUAGCAUAUGCACAGCGCUUCAUUCAGUACUCUGGUAAUCCACCCCUUCCCGCCCUGCUCCGCUCAAGCCCACCCCAUUCCACUCCACCCCAGCGCGCUCCGCCUUUCGUUAACACACACACACACACACACACACCUGGUGGUACAGUGGUAGUACGCUCGACUCCCAAUCGAGAAAGCCCAAGUUCGAUUCUCAGGACAGGUCUGAGGUCAUUUGGGCAAGGCUUCUAUUCAAGUGUGUGGCCCCUGUUCACCUUGCAGUGAUUAGGUAGCUAGGCCUGUAUUUAUAAAACUAUGAUUCGACAUAAGGUAAACAUAAGUCCACAAGAUGGCGGACACCAUGACUUACAUGAAACAUAAGUCUUAUAUCUCACGUUAAGUCAUCAUAAACUCGCAUUCCCGUUAUGUUUGGGUGGGAGCAAGAAUAGCAUCACUAUGUCGAAUCAUAAAGUCAACAUGGCGGAGGCAGUGGGACAGAGACGACGCCACCUGAGAAGUUUUCAUGAUCGUAGAGACGUGUUGGCUGAACUAAGUGACUCAGAACUGAUAAGAGGUAUCAGUUAGAGCGUGCAGCCAAGAUAUAUGGGGCUGACAUGCAAGGAUUCUUAGGGAAAAUGAACUCUAGCAGGGCUGUGAGAGGGAGACGGUGACAGCUGGAUGCCGCCUUGAGGGAGACUGUGGUUACCCCAGUAAAAAGUGGCUUCUGACACUAUAUCUUCGACCUCUGCCUGCCCCACACUCCAACUACAAUAGAUGGUGCUCAACCUCUACAACCCGUUGCUACAUCAUCCACUGAGACGGUGGAUGUCUCGGCACCAGCAGGUUUAGCCGUGUUAGGCGUUGGAAGUGCUGCCGUAGCAUUUCCAUCUGUACUGUUAUGAACAAUGACAACAAAUGUUAGUUAAACCAUCACAAGCAUAUUUAUUGCAGAUCCAUCUCACUAUCUAUAUAAGAGGUAAACAAUCCUCUCAAGGAGGAAGUAUCUUCCUGCCCCCAUACUCCUCAUACACAGUGUAAGUGUAUAUGGUGUGUGUGUGUGUGGUUACCCCAUUUUUGCUGUCUUCCUCCUGGAGGAGGGUGUUGGCUUUGUCUAUGCAUAGAUAGAUAGUUAAUGUCCUUACACUUCAGUUUUAAAGAUAUUUUAUAUGCUCUUAUUGAUAUUUUCAGCAGUAGGGUAAUGUGCUGUUAUUGUGUUGCAGACAGGUACUGAGUGCACUUGUCAUUAAGACACAUUCAUGUGUGGAUGCAUUUCUUGUGAGCUACCAUUUCCAACCUUCCAUAAUUGAAUAUCAACAUAGGAAAUUCUUCAUAUUAAUAAGACCCAUCAAUUUGAUUAGGUUAAGUUACUGGAAAUUAUACUCUGUUAUGUGUAAGGUGGCAGAAGUUGUCCUUUAUACCUGGAAGCAUUAAAUACAAUAAAUUGAUAGUUUGU